CCAACAACCUCUUGUAAUGAGCUCCAAUUUGCAUAUGCUUGUCUCAUCACAUUCUGAAUGUAACCCCCAUAAAUUGGUGGAAGAUCCGAAGUAGAGUAUGUUUGUCCAUUAAUAGUGGCACUAACAACUUCGCAUAUGGGGUUUACUGUGACAAUCAAAUUCUCUCCUUGAAAAAUGUAAUGUUUGUUUCCCAGCUCACAUGUUAUCGCGUGCUUUAUUGUUACUUCCCAUAUUUUCUCGGACAUCCCAGGACCUAAAAUCCUUCUAAGCUUUUGUUGGUCGACAGUGGACAACUUCAAGAAUUCUUGAACAGUAUUAAUGCCCUCAGCAGCUAGCUUUCUGUGGAAAGCUCCAUCUUUCCCAAUCUUC
rnacentral:misc_RNA from 1 species